AUUGAACGCUGGCGGCAGGCCUAACACAUGCAAGUCGAGCGAGUGGCGGACGGGUGAGUAAUGUCUGGGAAACUGCCUGAUGGAGGGGGAUAACUACUGGAAACGGUAGCUAAUACCGCAUACCAUCAGAUGUGCCCAGAUGGGAUUAGCUAGUAGGUGGGGUAAAGGCUCACCUAGGCGACGAUCCCUAGCUGGUCUGAGAGGAUGACCAGCCACACUGGAACGUAGACACGGUCCAGACUCCUACGGGAGGCAGCAGUGGGGAAUAUUGCACAAUGGGCGCAAGCCUGAUGCAGCCAUGCCGCGUGUGUGAAGAAGGCCUUCGGGUUGUAAAGUACUUUCAGCGAGGAGGCGUUACUCGCAGAAGAAGCACCGGCUAACUCCGUGCCAGCAGCCGCGGUAAUUC
rnacentral:rRNA from 1 species